rnacentral:tRNA from 1 species
GCCCUCGUAGCUCAGGGGAUAGAGCACCCGCCUCCUAAGCGGGGGGUCGAAGGUUCGAAUCCUUCCGAGGGCA